AACGAACGCUGGCGGCAGGCCUAACACAUGCAAGUCGAGCGCGCCCUUCGGGGUGAGCGGCGGACGGGUGAGUAACGCGUGGGAACGUGCCCUUCUCUGCGGAAUAGCUUCGGGAAACUGAAAGUAAUACCGCAUACGCCCUUUGGGGGUAAGAUCUAUUGGAGAAGGAUCGGCCCGCGUUGGAUUCGGUAGUUGGUGGGGUAAUGGCCCACCAAGCCGACGAUCCAUAGCUGGUUGGAGAGGAUGAUCAGCCACACUGGGGCUGCGACACGGCCCAGCCUCCUACGGAAGGCAGCAGUGGGGAAUCUUAGACAAUGGAGGCAGCCCUGAUCUAGCCAUGCCGCGUAAGUGAUGAAGGCCUUAGGGUUGUAAAGCUCUUUCAGCUGGGAAGAUAAUGACGGUACCAGCAGAAGAAGCCCCGGCUAACUCCGUG
rnacentral:rRNA from 1 species